CAAUAACAUUUGUUUCAAUUAUUUCUAGGUGAAUUAUUUAUAUCCAAAUUGUUAUGAACAACUGGAGAUGAAUCACUACAAAAAGAUGCCAAAAGCUGAAAUUCCAUCUUCAGUGAGUGGAAAGCAGCAGCAAAUGCAUGAUAAGGAUUCUUCUAAAAUACAAAGAGUUNCAGAAAAAAAGAAAAAGGCUUUGAGGGAGCAGAAAGAUCAAAAUACUGUUGAAAUAUCUGAAGCUCAAGACUGUGACACCACUACCUUUGCCCCAAAGCAGAUAACUACCAUUCCUUUAACUCUGGAAGACAUUGCUCUCUACAGUCCAAUUGUGGAAGCAAAGCCAUUAGGCAACUAUUGGACAAACUAUGUUGACAGCGACUCUGUCAUCAGUAUUGAAAAAUAUUAACUUGAAGUGGCUUCCUGUGGAUAUAUUUCAUGAAGUUUGUGAUUAUCCGCAAGUGUGACUAUUCUUUUUGUACAUAUGUGUGCUGAGGAGUUCUAUCAUUUUGCUUAAUUUUAUGCUAUUGAUUUUCUUUAAUAAUUCUUUGAGAGCAGUUUUUUUUAAAAAACUGAAAAUUUAACUUCUAUUUAUCUAUAGUUUUCUUGCUUUGUUAACAUUUUGAACAUUCUCAUUGUAGUAGUACUAAGACCAACACCUCAUUACCUAAGAUUAGCUGCCAAAAAGUUAACAUCCAAGAAACAUCUAUAAGAAGGGUGACUAGAUCCAGCACACCAUCAGUUGUUUUGAUUCUUCCAGAAGUCAGGUUCUCAUCUAGCUCCCCCNGGGGAAGGGAGGGGAGAAGAUAAGAGAAAAUGGACAGUGAAUAUAAUAGUAUCAUAUAAAUAUGAUAUGAUGUGUAGUAGAGAAGUUGUAAUAAUGUACAAAUUUUUAUAUAUCUAUAAUAAAUUGAAAAUAAAAAAAUAGUAAGAGAGCCA
rnacentral:lncRNA from 1 species